CGGCGCUUGCGGCUUUUUGCCCGGGCGACGUGCAGAAAUGCUGAUUUGUCUGUGGCAUAAAGUAGAAAAGCCCCGAAGUUAAUUUUCAUUAACCCCGAGGCCUACCCUAUGCUUCACAACAUCAGGAUAGCCUCUUACCUGCCUCAAGGCAAGGAGAAGACGGUCAUG
rnacentral:antisense_RNA from 1 species